rnacentral:rRNA from 1 species
AUGCAUUCAUCUUUAGUUUUGAGUUCCAUUGACAAAGAGCGGCGUCAGUUUGUCACUGUACAUGUAAGUUACUGUUUUGUCAUGUUUCAGGUUGUAAGUUCAGAACCCAGAGUGUUUAUUUUUCAGAGGGAGCACACAUUUUUUUUUAGAGUAUGCAAGUUCAGUGUUUCAGUUGUUGGAUUAAGGCUGUUUAUUUUUUUUUCAUUUUUCGAUCUUUUAACUCAAGAGAAUGAACUUGCUUAUUUUUUUGGGGGUUCUGCAGUGAGAGGAAGACCUGUCCUGAAUUUUGCUUCUGAGUAG